GAUGAACGCUGGCGGCGUGCCUAAUACAUGCAAGUCGAGCGAACGGACGAGAAACUUGCUUCUCUGAUGUUAGCGGCGGACGGGUGAGUAACACGUGGAUAACCUACCUAUAAGACUGGGAUAAAUUCGGGAAACCGGAGCUAAUACCGGAUGAUAUUUUGACCCGCAUGGUUCAAAAGUGAAAGACGGUCUUGCUGUCACUUAUAGAUGGAUCCGCGCUGCAUUAGCUAGUUGGUAAGGUAACGGCUUACCAAGGCAACGAUGCAUAGCCGACCUGAGCGGGUGAUCGGCCAGACUGUAACUGAGACCCGGCCCAGACUCCUACGGGAGGCAGCAGUAGGGAAUCUUCCGCAAUGGGCGAAAGCCUGACGGUGCAACGCCGCGUGAGUGAUGAAGGUCUUCGGAUCGUAAAACUCUGUUAUUAGGGAAGAACAUAUGUGUAAUUAACUGUGCACAUCUUGACGGUACCUAUUCAGAAAGCCCCGGCUAACUACGUG
rnacentral:rRNA from 1 species